GAUGAACGCUGGCGGCGUGCCUAAUACAUGCAAGUCGAGCGAACGGACGAGAAUCUUGCUUCUCUGAUGUUAGCGGCGGACGGGUGAGUAACACGUGGAUAACCUACCUAUAAGACUGGGAUAACUUCGGGAAACCGGAGCUAAUACCGGAUAAUAUUUUGAACCGCAUGGUUCAAAAGUGAAAGACGGUCUUGCUGUCACUUAUAGAUGGAUCCGCGCUGCAUUCGCUAGUUGGUAAGUUAACGGCUUACCAAGGCAACGAUGCAUAGCCGACCUGAGAGGAGGAUUGACCACACGGGAACUGAGACACGGUGCUGACUCCUACGAGAGGCAGCAGUAUGGUACCUUGCGCAAUGGGCGAGAGCCUGACGGAGCAACCCCACGCGAGGGCUGCACGUCUUGGGAUCGGCAAACUCUGCUAUUAGGGAAGAACAUCUGUGGACGCCACUGUGCACAGGUUGACGGUAACUAGUAAGAAAGCCACGGCUAACUACGUG
rnacentral:rRNA from 1 species